UACAGAGGAUGCAAGCGUUAUCCGGAAUGAUUGGGCGUAAAGCGUCUGUAGGUGGCUUUUUAAGUCCGCCGUCAAAUCCCAGGGCUCAACUCUGGACAGGCGGUGGAAACUACCAAGCUGGAGUACGGUAGGGGCAGAGGGAAUUUCCGGUGGAGCGGUGAAAUGCGCAGAUAUCAGGAGGAACACCGGUGGCGAAGGCGGGUCUCUGGGCCGUAACUGACGCUGAGGGGCGAAAGCGUGGGGAGCGAACAGG
rnacentral:rRNA from 1 species